rnacentral:rRNA from 1 species
AGUGAACGCUGGCGGCAGGCCUAAUACAUGCAAGUCGAACGGCAGCACAGCAGAGCUUGCUCUGUGGGUGGCGAGUGGCGGACGGGUGAGGAAUACGUGGGAAUCUGCCCAGUCGUGGGGGAUAACGUAGGGAAACUUACGCUAAUACCGCAUGCGCCCUUUGGGGGAAAGCCGGGGAUCUUCGGACCUGGCGCGAUUGGAUGAGCCCACGUCGGAUUAGCUAGUAGGAGGGGUAAAGGCCCACCAAGGCGACGAUCCGUAGCUGGUCUGAGAGGAUGAUCAGCCACACUGGAACUGAGACACGGUCCAGACUCCUACGGGAGGCAGCAGUAGGGAAUAUUGGACAAUGGGCGCAAGCCUGAUCCAGCCAUGCCGCGUGAGUGAAGAAGGCCCUCGGGUUGUAAAGCUCUUUUGUUGGGGAAGAAAAGCCUUGGGUUAAUACCCUGAGGUUCUGACGGUACCCAAAGAAUAAGCACCGGCUAACUUCGUGCCAGCAGCCGCAGUAA